rnacentral:tRNA from 1 species
GCCUUCGUGGUGUAGUGGUCAGCACGCUAGGCGCGUAUUCCAGAGGUUCGAGUCUCGCCGAAGGCU